AUGUGGGGCAAACCCACAGCAUCCCUUCCCACAAGCCCUUGGUCUGGGCUGCAAAGAGGGGUGGCAGAUGAGAAAAGGGAGCCGUUGAAAAGCAAGGACAACAAAGGUUUGAAUAGCGAACAAGGAUGCAGAAAGAAGAAAAAGGUCCCAGGAAGCAAUGAAAAAGAAUUGACAUCUGAGAAGCUGGGCGUCAUCUGUCCCAGGACUCUUCCAGAAGCCCCUCUGCAAAGAGUCAUUCCUGCCUCAGAAUCCCUCGCUAAGGAACUGUCCCAAGCCAUGCUGCGAAUGAAUAUGGGCCUAGAGAGGGAAUAUGCUUACGACAUCUUCAGCAGCAUGAUGCAGAAGCAGCAUUUGUAUGCCUUCCAAGCCUUCGACUUGCCACACUCCAUCACACCGGAGAUGCGUGCGCUUGGCAUUGACUUGACAAAAAAAAAAAAAAAGUAGGUAUUGGCAAAAUUGCCCAUGCAAAGGGGGGUAGCUGCAUCCCUGGGUCUCCAGGUUUCCUGAGUUAUUCCAAGAUAGAAGAGAAGGGGACAAUAUCU
rnacentral:lncRNA from 1 species